rnacentral:rRNA from 1 species
UACGUAGGGGACAAGCGUUGUCCGGAUUUAUUGGGCGUAAAGAGCGUGUAGGCGGUCUGGUAGGUCCGUUGUGAAAACUCGAGGCUCAACCUCGAGACGCCGAUGGAAACCCUCAGACUAGAGUCCGGAAGAGGAGAGUGGAAUUCCUGGUGUAGCGGUGAAAUGCGCAGAUAUCAGGAAGAACACCCGUGGCUAAGGCGGCUCUCUAGUACGGUACUGACGCUGAGACGCGAAAGCGUGGGGAGCGAACAGG